rnacentral:misc_RNA from 1 species
GAAAUGCGAUAAGUAAUGUGAAUUUCAGAAUUCAGUGAAUCAUCGAAUCUUUGAACGCACCUUGCGCUCCUUGGUAUUCCUUGGAGCAUGCCUGUUUGAGUAUCAUGAAAUCUUCAAAGUAAAUCUUUUGUUAACUCAAUUGGUUUCUACUUUGGUAUUGGAGGUCUUUGCAGCUUCACACCUGCUCCUCUUUGUUCAUUAGCUGGAUCUCAGUGUUAUGCUUGGUUCCACUCGGCGUGAUAAGUUAUCUAUCGCUGAGGACACUGUAAAAGGUGGCCAAGGUAAAUGCAGAUGAACCGCUUCUAAUAGUCCAUUGACUUGGACAAUACUUUUAUGAUCUGAUCUCAAAUCAGGUAGGACUAACCGCUGAACUUAAGC